AAAACCAAGCUUCACAAGAUCUAACCCAAUCCACAUGGCGAAAACAGAUCCACAAUAUACUCUCAGUAACACGUAUGAGCAUUUCACUCCGCCAUUUUCACGCUCUUCAAGCUUUUUACGCGUUCACUUCAAACGUCCAUGAACACGCAAAACGAAUCCAAAUCGGAGCCCAAUCAUCCUCGCCGUACCCCUAUUUCAAUUCAUGUUCAUCAUCAUCUUCUUCGUAUCGAAAUUGCAAGAUCCAACAAAAAAAUAAAAAUCUCCAAAUCCAUUCGUAUCUUGCACGCGGAGUCGAAGAGAAUCGGGGAUGAAUCACAGUAUGGCCAUGAUCAAGGGAGUCGCGCCGACGAUUGAAAGGAGAAUAUAUUACCGAAUCGGAACUUUGACGUGGUGUCAUCCCAGCGGAUCGCAGGUGUUGGACUCUUCUAUUUCCCUCCGCUCCUCUUCAGUUUUACUUCUGCAAUGCCGUUAUGUGCUCAUGAUUCUCCUUCACUUUUUCUGUUAUGAAUCCGGAUGUUACUCUGCGGAUUGAAGCGAUGCAUCAAGAUGCGCAUUCUAUACGUUACAACGAAAAAGAAAAAGAAGCACUCGUCUUCAUCCUCAAGAACGGAAACAUAAUGUCAGAGCAAGCCACACGGUUGUGAAGUAAACGUAGAAGAAGAACUCACCGACUUGAAGCUGUUGAGUCGGGUUAUUUGUGCAUAUUGGUGUCCGGUAGCGCUCUACGCUGUUGCGACCGUGCGCAAGUGUUUCCAGGCUUCUUCAUUCAUCUGUUACAGUGGAUUCGACCACCUUCGCGUAAUCGGUUUCAACGAUGCGGCGACCAAAAUCGGUAUGAGGUGAAUUGCAGGUCGUUGUGGCAAUCGUGGUGUGUGAAGUUUGAGAAUGGUUGCAGGUGAAGAAGAAGAUUAGAGGACUUGCAGAGGAUUCAAGAAUGAAGGAGUGAAGAGGAUGAAGAAGAUUGAUAUGAAGAAAUGAAGAACAUCUCUUGCAGAAUGAAGAACACUUUGUUAUAUAGAGCAUGAAGUUGCAACCGAAUCGGGCACGCCGGGCAGGUCCUACUUGAUCAUGGCAUGUUGCAUCACGUGCGUUCAACCGGCUUGUGGUUUGUUGGCAUGUUGUUGGUGUUUGUGACGCAUUGCAACUUGGACUCAUUACGCUUCCAUUGUAUUGCUAUUGCCGCAGGAUCAGGUUGCAAAUCGUGAUGGUCUUAUUGUGCAGCAUUGGUCUGCUGCAGUUGAAUGUAACCUUGCUCAGAGGCUGCCAAUGUGGUCGUGCUUAUGGGCUGCUAGUUCAAUGUCGUCAUUGUCGUGCGGUUUGGAUGCGUUUAUGUGCACACGAAUGGUUGGUUAAUGUUUUUUUUUUUGUACUAGGUCCGGCUGACGGCAUGACCGAACUAGAACGGAUUUGCAAGGCUUUCUCAUGGAAUUUAGAAAACUUGGUGUAGAUUUGAAAUGGAUAACUUGUAUAUGUUAUGAUUUGGUUUGUGUAGAUUGAAAAUUGGUUUGGAUUUUUAGGUUAUGACAUUUUUGUACCUUUUAGAUGAACUGGUAUAUACUUAGAGCAUUUGGAGAAUGGCUUUAAAAGCUCAUUAAUUACUAGUCCGUAUUUUUUGAGAAAAUAGAAAUGGUCUUAACCCUAUGCUUUAUAAAUCUCUUGAAACACUUCCUAUUCCUAAUAAUAAUUAGCUAUGCUUCCAAAUCA